rnacentral:rRNA from 1 species
UCUAUGGAGAGUUUGAUCCUGGCUCAGGACGAACGCUGGCGGCGUGCCUAAUACAUGCAAGUCGAGCGGACGAAUCGAAAGCUUGCUUUUGAUUCGUUAGCGGCGGACGGGUGAGUAACACGUGGGCAACCUGCCCUGUAGACGGGGAUAACACCGAGAAAUCGGUGCUAAUACCGGAUAACACGAAAUGUCGCAUGACGUUUCGUUGAAAGACGGCGCAAGCUGUCGCUACAGGAUGGGCCCGCGGCGCAUUAGCUAGUUGGUGAGGUAACGGCUCACCAAGGCGACGAUGCGUAGCCGACCUGAGAGGGUGAUCGGCCACACUGGGACUGAGACACGGCCCA